AUUUGAGAGUUUGAUCCUGGCUCAGGACGAACGCUGGCGGCGUGCCUAAUACAUGCAAGUUGAGCGCUGAAGGUUGGUACUUGUACCGACUGGAUGAGCAGCGAACGGGUGAGUAACGCGUGGGGAAUCUGCCUUUGAGCGGGGGACAACAUUUGGAAACGAAUGCUAAUACCGCAUAAAAACUUUAAACACAAGUUUUAAGUUUGAAAGAUGCAAUUGCAUCACUCAAAGAUGAUCCCGCGUUGUAUUAGCUAGUUGGUGAGGUAAAGGCUCACCAAGGCGAUGAUACAUAGCCGACCUGAGAGGGUGAUCGGCCACAUUGGGACUGAGACACGGCCCAAACUCCUACGGGAGGCAGCAGUAGGGAAUCUUCGGCAAUGGACGAAAGUCUGACCGAGCAACGCCGCGUGAGUGAAGAAGGUUUUCGGAUCGUAAAACUCUGUUGGUAGAGAAGAACGUUGGUGAGAGUGGAAAGCUCAUCAAGUGACGGUAACUACCCAGAAAGGGACGGCUAACUACGUGCCAGCAGCCGCGGUAAUACGUAGGUCCCGAGCGUUGUCCGGAUUUAUUGGGCGUAAAGCGAGCGCAGGUGGUUUAUUAAGUCUGGUGUAAAAGGCAGUGGCUCAACCAUUGUAUGCAUUGGAAACUGGUAGACUUGAGUGCAGGAGAGGAGAGUGGAAUUCCAUGUGUAGCGGUGAAAUGCGUAGAUAUAUGGAGGAACACCGGUGGCGAAAGCGGCUCUCUGGCCUGUAACUGACACUGAGGCUCGAAAGCGUGGGGAGCAAACAGGAUUAGAUACCCUGGUAUCCACGCCGUAAACGAUGAGUGCUAGAUGUAGGGAGCUAUAAGUUCUCUGUAUCGCAGCUAACGCAAUAAGCACUCCGCCUGGGGAGUACGACCGCAAGGUUGAAACUCAAAGGAAUUGACGGGGGCCCGCACAAGCGGUGGAGCAUGUGGUUUAAUUCAAGCAACGCGAAGAACCUUACCAGGUCUUGACAUACUCGUGCUAUUCCUAGAGAUAGGAAGUUCCUUCGGGACACGGGAUACAGGUGGUGCAUGGUUGUCGUCAGCUCGUGUCGUGAGAUGUUGGGUUAAGUCCCGCAACGAGCGCAACCCCUAUUGUUAGUUGCCAUCAUUAAGUUGGGCACUCUAACGAGACUGCCGGUGAUAAACCGGAGGAAGGUGGGGAUGACGUCAAAUCAUCAUGCCCCUUAUGACCUGGGCUACACACGUGCUACAAUGGAUGGUACAACGAGUCGCGAGACAGUGAUGUUUAGCUAAUCUCUUAAAACCAUUCUCAGUUCGGAUUGUAGGCUGCAACUCGCCUACAUGAAGUCGGAAUCGCUAGUAAUCGCGGAUCAGCACGCCGCGGUGAAUACGUUCCCGGGCCUUGUACACACCGCCCGUCACACCACGGGAGUUGGGAGUACCCGAAGUAGGUUGCCUAACCGCAAGGAGGGCGCUUCCUAAGGUAAGACCGAUGACUGGGGUGAAGUCGUAACAAGGUAGCCGUAUCGGAAGGUGCGGCUGGAUCACCUCCUUU
rnacentral:rRNA from 1 species